GGAGUUUGAUCAUGGCUCAGGAUGAACGCUGGCGGCGUGCCUAACACAUGCAAGUCGAACGAAGCGGUUUUGGUGAAGUUUUCGGAUGGAACCGGAACUGACUGAGUGGCGGACGGGUGAGUAACGCGUGGGUAACCUGCCUCAUACAGGGGGAUAACAGUUAGAAAUGACUGCUAAUACCGCAUAAGCGCACGGGACCGCAUGGUUUUGUGUGAAAAGCCGAGACGGUAUGAGAUGGACCCGCGUCUGAUUAGCUGGUUGGUGGGGUAACGGCCCACCAUGGCGACGAUCAGUAGCCGG
rnacentral:rRNA from 1 species